rnacentral:rRNA from 1 species
CUGGCGGCAGGCUUAACACAUGCAAGUCGAACGUGAAGCCGGGCUUCGGUCUGGUGGAAAGUGGCGCACGGGUGAGUAUCGCGUGGGAAUUUAUCCAGCAGUUCGGAAUAACCCCGGGAAACCGAGGCUAAUACCGUAUACGCCCUUCGGGGGAAAGAUUUAUCGCUGUUGGAUGGGCCCGCGUCGGAUUAGCUUGUUGGUAGGGUAAGGGCCUACCAAGGCGACGAUCCGUAGCUGGUCUGAGAGGACGACCAGCCACACUGGGACUGAGACACGGCCCAGACUCC